GUGACCACCACCUCCAAGCACCAAGGCUUUGCAACCCACCCUGUGGUGACACGGAGUGGCAGAGGCAGGGAUGCUUUACCAUGCCCUGGGGAGCAGGCAGUGCUGUGCCAACAGCAAGUGGCCGCUGGAGGUUGAAACCAUGACCAUGGCUGCGUCACAGUCAGCAGUGACGUCCCUUUGCCAGUCACAACAGAGCUGGUUUUAAAAUAACCUUUUUCUUUCCUUUUUUUUUUUUUUCUUUUUUUUUUUCCCUGCCUAAAAAUGACCUAAUUUUCUCAUUUCUGGGAGUAGCUGCUAGGGAGGGGAGCACCCUCCUGCUUCUCAUUUCUUCCUGGAGGAUUUGUCAGAGCUUGAAACAGUCCCACCUACUCCGGCUGCCCUCGAUUUUGGGGUAUUUUCCCCCGGGGCUGGUGUCUAUGGGCAUCCGGGCUGUUCUCCUGAAUCUACCCCCAGCCUUUGGGGCAUGGCGGGGGAUUUUCCCCACAGACAGGGAAGUGGGGGGGUGUUGGGGGAUACCGGUGCCAGAGCUGAGCCCUGAGCUGCUCCUGCUGGCCCCUGUGCCGUCCGUCCUGCGUGUCUGUCGGGGGCGAGGCGGCGCGGGGGCGGCCAGGCAUGCGGGAGCUGCCCCGGCGUGGGGCCAAGGCGGCGGCGGCGGAGCCAGCGUGGGGCCGCGGAUGCCGUUCCUGCUGAGGUCAUGGCCAGAGCAGCCGGCGGCAGGGGGAUGGGGGUGGCAAUCCAUGCCUCCCUGUGACUGCUUCCAUCCCAUAAGUGUCACCCCGGCUUGUCCCGGGACCCCCAAGGUGGCAGCAUGGGGGGGACAAGCUGGUGGCACUCGCUCCAGAGCUUUGUUGCUUCGUUCCUGCCGCGGCUGGUGGUGGUUGGGUCUGGUGAGCCCUUUCUGCUUCCUCCACCCUUGUCCCCGGGGUCCUCGGCCACGCUGGCCACCAGCAAGUGGCACUGUUACCCUGCCGGCCACCCGCCGGGCAUCCCCGGCUGAGCUCGCAAGUUUUGCCUUUUAUCUGACCACACUACUUGGAAAAAGUGGGCGACCUUCUGGGAAGGCAGCCCUUUCCUCAGAUCUGCCCAAACACGGGUAUUAAUAGCUGCUGUUCCCUUGGUUUUUGGUUGUUUUUUUUUCUUUUCCCUUUUAAACACCGUUAAGACUUGAACGCGCUCAGGAUGUGGUGAGAUAAGGGGAGGCACGGGGCAGUUUCAGCUGGAUCUGACACUUUCUCUCUCUCUCUCUCUCUUCCCCGCUCUUUGUUUCUUCCAAAGUCAAGGUCGUUUUUAUUGCUCUUUGCUCCUCAAGAACCAGAAGUCAUAAACCUUGUGCCCGUUUUUAGGCUGGGGUUAGUCAGACUCUCGUUACAUGCUCGGUCGGUUACAGAGCGGUCGGGAAAAGUAUUGUUAAAGCAAAUGCUGCCUGGGGUCAGGGCUUUUUGUUUUGGGUUUGGUUUUUUGUUUGUUUUUUUUUUUUGUUUGAGGUUUGUCUGCAGCAGGGAGAGAGAGUGUUUGGAUUAAUCACUUAACAAAAUCGAAUAAAUAUUUAAUCCCUCUGUGGACACACUUAGUCACUUCCAGCGGGAAUUAAGAUAAAUUCCUCUCCAGCUGUCUGUGUAAGAGCAGACUCACCAGCUCUGGCUUUGAAGUUGGAACCGGUCUGGGUGGCUUGUCCUGUGUGUCCCUGGGGUGUCACCAGUGCCACCCGUGGUCCCUCGGGGGGUCCAGAGCUGUGGCAGGUGGGCAGGAUGGCAGUGCCAGCCUUGUCCUGUCCCACAGCAGUGUUGGGAGCAAGGGAUGGGCCAUUGAAUUAAAACCAGUGAAUAAUGAGGACAUCAUCAGUGUGUACUGCAGGUCCUUGCGUUUGUCCCUCAGGACCUGUUGGAUGGAUUAUUCUUUAUUUUUUUUUGUUUUUACUCUCUUCUUUAAAAAAGCCAACCCUUUUCACUUCACAGUUUUUAAGGUAAACUAUUAUUUUUUUUUAGCUGUUUUUCAGCAAUGUUUUUCAUGAUCAAAACUUAACCUCUGCCUCGUGGCCGAGGAGGUGGCAGGUAGGGUGGGUUUGUGCCAUGCCAUAUGCAACGUGUAGGGUGGGUUUGUGCCAUGCCAUAUACAAUGUGUAGGGUGAGUUGGUGCCAUGCCAUGUGUGUGGUGUGUGUUUGCCAUGCCACAGCUCCUGCCCCGCCGGGGGCUGCCCCCCAAGCCCCAGCCAUGCCACUGGGCACACUGCCUGCAGCACUGGGCGAGCAGGAGCUGGCAGGGGUGGUUUUAGCCACGUUUUAAGUUUUUUUACUCUUUUUUUUUAACUCUUCUCAGUCCCACCCACAGCCUCAUACGUGGCCUCGGUGCGACUCACCACGGUCGGAGGCUUGACCUUGCAGGAUGAGGUUUUUCAGCCAUGGAGAUACCCCCCACCCUCCCCAAAACUCCCACCCAAGGGGUGCUCCCCACUCUCACUGGUGUCCACAGCGGGCACCCUCUUUCCAGCUGUGGUGACAAUGUCAGCUGUGUUUACACGGGCCAAAAUAUCUACGAGUGGCCUUUUAACUCACCCCUGUGGCCAGAUUGCCACGAGCCCGGCUGAAACCCUUGGGAAGACAGGGAACCACAAGAGCCUGAAAAACGGGGCAUAACACUGUGGUUUGGACAUCGGCAAGAACGGCAGUUCCCUGGCCGGUGAAUUCCUUUAGCUGGGAACCAAUGGACUCGAUACUUGACUUUUUGCCUUUUAAUAGUAUUUUCAGCACAAUACAUGGAAUGUAAGGGAAGGAAAUUCCCGUAGCGCUGGAUCUCGUGUCGCAGCGUCAGGAAGCUGAUCGUGCCAAGCUGGCACGGCUCAAAAAACAAAACAAAACAAAAAAAAAGGGUUUGAAAGAAAUCAAAUAAUUCAGCAUCUGUGCAAACUUUAGCUGGGGCUGAACAAUGGAAAUACUCUUGUGCAGUGGGAUUACUUUUUUACAAGCGGUUGUUUUUUGACACCGCUCUUGUCUGGAAGUCUGAUUUGCAGAGGAAUUUGUAUGAUAAGUUUAAGUCCAGCCCUGUUCUGGAAAGCUCUUAAAGCAUAGAUUUAAAAAUAGGCACGUACUUAAGUCCUAUUAAAAUGAACAAUUAGUACAUCCUUGGGUGCUUUUCUUGAACAGGGUGCUUCUAAGAAUUGUACCUUCAAUAUGCUCUUAGAGAAGCAAGCAAUACUGAAGAAGGCUUGGUUUUAAUGAUCUGGGCACAUUUCUCAGAAAAGUCUGCAAGUAUUAGGGGGAAAUUCCCUAUGUGUUUUGGAUUACUUAAUAAUGCAGACUGGUGCUUUUUUUUUUUUUAAAAAAAAGAUACAUUUCUGUAGCCAUGGUUUACCUAGGGGACUACAUGAUAUUUUUUAUGUUGGAUGUUAUUUUUCUUUAAGGUUACGAAUAGGUUAUUUAUAUUUUUGUAAAUUCUGUGUUGUUACCACUGUAAUUCUGAAGUAGAGUUGUUCCUGUUGUUGUUUUUUUGGGGUGAUGUCUGUACUCAAAUAAAGCAGUAGCUGAAGCUCCUGCCUUCUUUGUUAAACAAGGGGUGUGUGUGUGUGCCCCACAUUCCUCCCAGGCCUGGUGCUCUCGAAUGCUGUGUGUUAAAUAAAUUUCGGAGCCAGAG